CCUACGGGUGGCAGCAGUGAGGAAUAUUGGUCAAUGGGCGGGAGCCUGAACCAGCCAAGCCGCGUGAGGGAAGAAGGUACAGCGUAUCGUAAACCUCUUUUGUCAGGGAACAAAGGCGGGGACUAGUGCCCGGUUGAGGGUACCUGAAGAAAAAGCAUCGGCUAACUCCGUGCCAGCAGCCGCGGUAAUACGGAGGAUGCGAGCGUUAUCCGGAUUUAUUGGGUUUAAAGGGUGCGCAGGCGGCCUGUUAAGUCAGCGGUAAAAGUCCGGGGCUCAACCCCGGCCAGCCGUUGAAACUGGCGGGCUGGAGUUGGAGAGAAGUACGCGGAAUGCGCGGUGUAGCGGGGAAAUGCUUAGAUAUCGCGCAGAACCCCGAUUGCGAAGGCAGCGUACCGGCUCCACACUGACGCUGAGGCACGAAAGCGUGGGUAUCGAACAGGAUUAGAUACCCCAGUAGUC
rnacentral:rRNA from 1 species